rnacentral:lncRNA from 1 species
UUGUUUCAGCAGCUGUCCUGUGCAUUGUAGGAAGUUUAGUAGCAUCUCUGGCUCCUAGCAGCUAGAAACCAGUAGCCAACCCUGUCCCCUACCAUUUGUGACAACAAAAAAUGUCUCCAUAUAUUUUCAAAUGUCCCCUGGAGAGAGAAGACAAAAUCUUCCCAGUUGAGAGCCACUGCUUUAACUUUCUACCAUAACCUGUAGAUAUGGGCUAGAGCUCCAGGCCUGCCAUGAAUUUACUUUAUAAUUUCUCAGGUGAAAACUUUGCCUUUUCAGGUCCUGUUUCCUAUAGUACAAUAAUUAAUACUUCUUGUUUUCUGCAUAGACUCAGCCAAAAGAGAAUCAUGGAAAUGGUGGUGUGAGUGGAAACGGGGAGUUAAGAAAACUGAGAUGUUCCAACAGCACACAUGUUGGGAGCAUAAUACAUGUUCUCUUACAGAGGAAGCAAUAUAGAGCAAGCCCACAUUCCAGAGCCCUGAGAAGGCAAAUGAAGGCUAAGAGGAUGAGCUUUGCCACACCAGCAACUUCUUGCCCAACACUGGAGGCUUUAACUUCCUGCGAGGUUCAGGCAAUGUCAAGCUGGCCUCUGGGAGGAAGACAGGCAAGGCUACCUGCAUAAAUACUGUCCAAAAAGCCCUUGCACUGCUGGGAGCCAGAGAGCUGCUUCGUCAUUCCCCAAAAGUGCUGGUUUGAAACUUGUGUUCGAGGAGCACUGGAUUUCCAAUUGCCUUGCAGACUGCCAGCGACACUCCCUGAAAAAUCCUUCAGCCUUCAUACACAGCUCCUUUCACCUCUUAGUAACAAAAUGCUCAUCCUUGGGCACUUGACCAUUUAUGCAGCAUUUCACAGCAUCUCAUCCAAUGCUUACCUCCAUCCUCAGUAGUAAGCAGGAUGUAUGGUACAACCUUCAUUUUAGUGAUGGAAGAACUGAAAAACUCAAAGAGGUGGGAUACUCAUCCAACACUCCCAAUAAGUCAGUAGCAAAUCCAGCAGUAGAAGAACCCAAGUUCUGCCUGGCUAGUUUCUACUCUCCCCUGAGUGCUGGAUUCUCUGGUACAUUCAUAACUCUGUUCUGCCUUGCACACAAAUCAUCUAACCCCUGAAGAAAAGCAUUUCCUCCCAGGGGCAUCUUUCCAUCUCUGAGUCCUGUUGUGCCUGCUGACACUAGCAAACUCUCAUUCCCCAUCUGAAUGAGGCAUUUUUAUUUUUGAAGAUGGCCUAUUUGGAAAAUCCCUAAAACAGUGUUUCCCAAACCCAGGAUCUGUGGCCCACUGAGGGUUUGUUGUUAUAUUCUUAAGUGUCUACAAGAAGUUUAUAUGUACGUUCAUAUUCCUAAGCUUUUAAAAAACAAACAGAAAAGCAAAAAAGCUGAAUGACCAGCUCAUAUUUAAGGACUGCCAGAGGAUUUCAGCAUUUCUGCACUCAUAUUUAUGAGCAUUCUGCAAACUACACAGC